CAGUCGCCGCGGUAAUACGAAGGGUGCAAGCGUUACUCGGAAUUACUGGGCGUAAAGCGUGCGUAGGUGGUUGUUUAAGUCUGCUGUGAAAGCCCUGGGCUCAACCUGGGAAUUGCAGUGGAUACUGGGCAACUAGAGUAAGGUAGAGGAUAGUGGAAUUUCCGGUGUAGCAGUGAAAUGCGUAGAUAUAGGAAGGAACAUCAGUGGCGAAGGCGACCACCUGGACUGAUACUGACACUGAGGUGCGAAAGCGUGGGGAGCAAACAGGAUUAGAUACCCCUGUAGUCCCUGUCUCUUAUAC
rnacentral:rRNA from 1 species